rnacentral:tRNA from 1 species
GGGCCAUUAGCUCAGUUGGUAGAGCGACUGACUCUUAAUCAGUAGGUCGUGGGUUCGACCCCCGCAUGGCCCACCA